rnacentral:ribozyme from 1 species
GGGAUCAAAGAGAGAAAGAGAAAGAACGAGAAAGAACGAGAACGAGAGAGUUGGCAAUUGGCAGUUGACAUGGUUGUCCGUCGAGUGGUAGAAAAUCAGAAUGAUGCAAUGUUGUUUUUUCUUCUUCUUCUUCUUCGUUUUUUUU